GACAGGAGGGUGCGAACGUUGUUCGGAAUUACUGGGCGUAAAGCGCAUGUAGGCGGCAGCGCAAGUCGGGCGUGAAAUCCCACGGCUCAACCGUGGAAGUGCACUCGAAACUGCGCAGCUAGAGUCCUGGAGAGGAAGGUGGAAUGCUUGGUGUAGAGGUGAAAUUCGUAGAUAUCAAGCGGAACACCGGUGGCGAAGGCGGCCUUCUGGACAGUGACUGACGCUGAGAUGCGAAAGCGUGGGGAGCAAACAGGG
rnacentral:rRNA from 1 species